UACGGGGGGGGCAAGCGUUGUUCGGAAUUACUGGGCGUAAAGGGCUCGUAGGUGGCCAACUAAGUCAGACGUGAAAUCCCUCAGCUUAACUGGGGAACUGCGUCUGAUACUGGAUGGCUUGAGUUUGGGAGAGGGACGCGGAAUUCCAGGUGUAGCGGUGAAAUGCGUAGAUAUCAGGAGGAAUACCGGUGGCGAAAGCGACUCUCUGGACGGCAACUGACGCUGAGGCACGAAAGCGUGGGGAGCAAACAGG
rnacentral:rRNA from 1 species